rnacentral:rRNA from 1 species
GACGAACGCUGGCGGCGUGCUUAACACAUGCAAGUCGAACGGAAAGGCCCUGCUUUUGUGGGGUGCUCGAGUGGCGAACGGGUGAGUAACACGUGAGUAACCUGCCCUUGACUUUGGGAUAACUUCAGGAAACUGGGGCUAAUACCGGAUAGGAGCUCCUGCUGCAUGGUGGGGGUCGGAAAGUUUCGGCGGUUGGGGAUGGACUCGCGGCUUAUCAGCUUGUUGGUGGGGUAGUGGCUUACCAAGGCUUUGACGGGUAGCCGGCCUGAGAGGGUGACCGGCCACAUUGGGACUGAGAUACGGCCCAGACUCCUACGGGAGGCAGCAGUGGGGAAUAUUGCACAAUGGGCGGAAGCCUGAUGCAGCAACGCCGCGUGCGGGAUGACGGCCUUCGGGUUGUAAACCGCUUUCGCCUGUGACGAAGCGUGAGUGACGGUAAUGGGUAAAGAAGCACCGGCUAACUACGUGCCAGCAGCCGCGGUGAUACGUAGGGUGCGAGCGUUGUCCGGAUUUAUUGGGCGUAAAGGGCUCGUAGGUGGUUGAUCGCGUCGGAAGUGUAAUCUUGGGGCUUAACCCUGAGCGUGCUUUCGAUACGGGUUGACUUGAGGAAGGUAGGGGAGAAUGGAAUUCCUGGUGGAGCGGUGGAAUGCGCAGAUAUCAGGAGGAACACCAGUGGCGAAGGCGGUUCUCUGGGCCUUUCCUGACGCUGAGGAGCGAAAGCGUGGGGAGCGAACAGGCUUAGAUACCCUGGUAGUCCACGCUGUAAACGGUGGGUACUAGGUGUGGGGUCCAUUCCACGGGUUCCGUGCCGUAGCUAACGCUUUAAGUACCCCGCCUGGGGAGUACGGCCGCAGGGCUAAAACUCAAAGGAAUUGACGGGGCCCCGCACAAGCGGCGGAGCAUGCGGAUUAAUUCGAUGCAACGCGUAGAACCUUACCUGGGUUUGACAUGGAUCGGGAGUGCUCAGAGAUGGGUGUGCCUCUUUUGGGGUCGGUUCACAGGUGGUGCAUGGCUGUCGUCAGCUCGUGUCGUGAGAUGUUGGGUUAAGUCCCGCAACGAGCGCAACCCUUGUUCACUGUUGCCAGCACGUUAUGGUGGGGACUCAGUGGAGACCGCCGGGGUCAACUCGGAGGAAGGUGGGGAUGACGUCAAGUCAUCAUGCCCCUUAUGUCCAGGGCUUCACGCAUGCUACAAUGGCUGGUACAGAGAGUGGCGAGCCUGUGAGGGUGAGCGAAUCUCGGAAAGCCGGUCUCAGUUCGGAUUGGGGUCUGCAACUCGACCUCAUGAAGUCGGAGUCGCUAGUAAUCGCAGAUCAGCAACGCUGCGGUGGAUACGUUCCCGGGGGCU